GUAAGUCAAAUUAUUAACAUUUUAUAUAUUCUUUUCAAAAGUUUAUGAGUGCUUUAUAAAACUAAAUAAGAUUACAAAUAGAUUCGAAUAUUCGGAAACAGAUCGGAUAGUUGUCUAUCCAUAUUCAUAUAUGUUUUUCUUUGAUUGAUAUGGAUAUGGAUAUAGACUUUUAGUCAAAUGCUUAAAUUUUUAUCCAUAGCUGGAUAGAUUUGGAUAAGAAAAAUAGAUUCAGAUGGUGGUUCACUUUUAUCUUUAUCAGAAGCUUUUCCAAAGUCCAAUUUCUAGAGAAAACCAUCCUUCUUCUUCUUUAUACAAUAAUAAAAAAUGUCACAUGCAUUUAAGAAAUUAUCGAGGACUUGCCAGCCCCAAUAUCUAAAAAUAGAGCUAACCUACACACCAUNNNNNNNNNNNNNNNNNNNNUAGAUUUUACUUUAGAAGAAUUAUAUGAAGCCUUCCAAGAGCUCAUGAGUGAUUGUAGUAUGUUAGGAGCAAAAAAUAAAGAAUUAAAGGCCUCCAAUCAAAAACUAAAGGAUGACAUUAAAAACCUAUUGAUUGAGAAGGAGAGCUUUGAAAAUGUUAACACCAUUGACCUAG
rnacentral:lncRNA from 1 species